rnacentral:rRNA from 1 species
GAUGAACGCUGACAGAAUGCUUAACACAUGCAAGUCGAUUCGAUUUACCUUCGGGUAUUGAGGAUGGCGGACGGGUGAGUAACGCGUAAGGAACUUGCCUCUUGGUCUGGGACAACUGUUGGAAACGACAGCUAAUACCGGAUAUUAUGAGAUUCUCGCAUGGGAAACUUAUGAAAGCUAUAUGCGCCAAGAGAGAGCCUUGCGUUCCAUUAGCUAGUUGGUGGGGUAACGGCCCACCAAGGCGACGAUGGAUAGCCGGCCUGAGAGGGUGAACGGCCACAAGGGGACUGAGACACGGCCCUUACUCCUACGGGAGGCAGCAGUGGGGAAUAUUGGACAAUGGGCCACAAGCCUGAUCCAGCAAUUCUGUGUGCACGAUGAAGGUCUUCGGAUUGUAAAGUGCUUUCAGUUGGGAAGAAGAAAGUGACGGUACCAACAGAAGAAGCGACGGCUAAAUACGUGCCAGCAGCCGCGGUAAUACGUAUGUCGCAAGCGUUAUCCGGAUUUAUUGNGCGUAAAGCGCGUCUAGGCGGAAAAAUAAGUCUGAUGUUAAAAUGCGGGGCUCAACUCCGUAUUGCGUUGGAAACUGUUUUUCUAGAGUACUGGAGAGGUGGGCGGAACUACAAGUGUAGAGGUGAAAUUCGUAGAUAUUUGUAGGAAUGCCGAUGGAGAAGUCAGCUCACUGNACAGAUACUGACGCUAAAGCGCGAAAGCGUGGGGAGCAAACAGGAUUAGAUACCCUGGUAGUCCACGCCGUAAACGAUGAUCACUAG